rnacentral:rRNA from 1 species
UACGUAGGGUGCAAGCGUUAAUCGGAAUUACUGGGCGUAAAGCGUGCGCAGGCCGCUAUGUAAGACAGAUGUGAAAUCCCCGGGCUUAACCUGGGAACUGCAUUUGUGACUGCAUGGCUAGAGUACGGCAGAGGGGAUGGAAUUCCGCGUGUAGCAGUGAAAUGCGUAGAUAUGCGGAGGAACACCGAUGGCGAAGGCAAUCCCUGGCCUGUACUGACGCUCAUGCACGAAAGCGUGGGAGCAAACAGG